AUGCUAUUAUUUUCCUUGGUAUCAUGGGACAAUAUGACCAUGUCAAAAUAUAAAGGGGGUCUAGGCUUUUGGGAUUUGGAAAUUUUCAACUUGGCAUUUCUUGCACGCCAAGCAUGGAGGCUGCUCCAGUAGCCAGACGUAAGUGUGUAUGUGGUUAAGGCUAUGUAUUACCCUGAGUUUGAUCUUCUCUCCGCCAUCAUGGGCAUCUAUCCGUCGCAGGUUUGGAGAUCAAUUUGUGGGGGUCAAGAUGUCAUGAAACUUGGCUUGGUGCGGAGGAUAGGGGAUGGCAGAAUCCCGAGUGCUUGGAAUGAUAAUUGGCUGCCAGGAGAUCACAUGCUCAGAUCUGUAUGUGCGAUUCUAAUGACCCUCCUCAGAUGGUUGCAAACUUUAUUGUUAGAGCGACGGGAGCAUGGGAUACUAGUGCACUAG
rnacentral:rRNA from 1 species